AGAGGUCGCCCUUGGUGAAUUC
rnacentral:miRNA from 1 species